rnacentral:tRNA from 1 species
GGGCCCGUGGCUCAAUUGGAUAGAGCAACUGACUACGGAUCAGUGGAUUGUGGAUUCGAAUUCUGCCGGGCCCGCCA